GGUUUAUAAAUCCUUCUCGACUACCUUGGAGCUUGUGGUAUAGGAACUAGGUUGUUAUAUUUGUUGAUCAUCAUCUUGUCUCUCAAAGAACCCAUUCUUUGAGUUCUAUCUCUCGUUCAUUGCUCUAUCUUAGGCAAAUCAUAUUGUAGGAUUACAAUGAACUACCCAACAAAACAACAUUUGUUAGUUGGUUUAUAGAAGUGAUAUCCAAAAGUUAAUUUAAGGAUAUCCCACAAGAUAAUGUUAUCAAACAAAUAUUGCUUAUUGGCACACAACCCCAAAUCUUAACACAAUUAAGACUUGUCUUUCUUUCCAACUACAUCCUAUGGAGUCAUGAAAAUUUUGGAAGAUCUUCUAAUUGACAAUCAUAUUGUUUUAGAAGUAUAUAUCCUAUAUAUGGGUAAUUGAUAAUAUCCAACGAACUAAAUCUUAUUCAAGUUCGUUCUUCUCCUUAUGGAGAAAUCUAUUAUCUUAU
rnacentral:lncRNA from 1 species